GACAGAGGUGCCGAGCGUUAGGCGGAAUCACUGGGCUUAAAGCGUGUGUAGGCGGAUCUGUAAGUACCUUGUGAAAUCCCACGGCUCAACCGUGGAACUGCUUGGUAUACUGCGGAUCUUGAGCCACCUAGGGGCGAGCGGAACAAGUGGUGGAGCGGUGAAAUGCGUAGAGAUCGGGAGGAACAUCAGUGGCGAAGGCGGCCAUCUGGAUCAACACUGACGCUGAGGCACGAAAGCGUGGGGAGCAAACAGG
rnacentral:rRNA from 1 species